ACGGGAGGCAGCAGUGGGGAAUAUUGGGCAAUGGGCGAAAGCCUGACCCAGCGACGCCGCAUGAGGGAAGAAGGUCUUCGGAUUGUAAACCUCUUUCAGCAGGGAAGAAGCAUGACGGUACCUGCAGAAGAAGUCACGGCUAACUACGUGCCAGCAGCCGCGGUAAUACGUAGGUGGCGAGCGUUAUCCGGAAUUACUGGGUGUAAAGGGUGUGUAGGCGGGGAAGCAAGUCAGGCGUGAAAUACACGGGCUCAACCCGUGAACUGCGCUUGAAACUGUUUUUCUUGAGAGUGGGAGAGGUAAACGGAAUUCCUGGUGUAGUAGUGAAAUGCGUAGAUAUCAGGAGGAACACCGGUGGCGAAGGCGGUUUACUGGACCACAACUGACGCUGAGACACGAAAGCGUGGGGAGCAAACAGGAUUAGAUACCCUGGUA
rnacentral:rRNA from 1 species